GUUCUAAUAGUUUAAUAAAAAUAUUAAAUUGCAAAUUUAAUGAUACUUUGUUUAGGAUUAGAAUU
rnacentral:tRNA from 1 species